UUUGAGACAUAUAUUCCAACUGCCAAACUACUGCUUUCACUUUAUGCUUAUAUUUGAUCACUAUAUAGAACAAGUUUUGCAUUGUUAUUACCAAGUUGGUCUUGGCAGACACUUCCGGUUUGCAGUCAAAUAUUUUUGCUAAAUUAGUUUACUUUGUUUACGUUUACUUUGGGACUUUUAACAAUUAAAAAAAAAAGUGUGUUCAUUUUUAAAUCUAAAAAGGUUUCCUUUUAGGGGUAGGGUUCAUGUUUGGCUUAGGGUAGCAGUUACUUCUCUUUAUAUGAACAAUGCAAAGCUACAGCAGUUCUCAUUUAGAAAGCUAAGUAAACAUGUGAGCAUGUGUUUCAGGAUGAAUCAUGACUAACCGCUGAAAGUAUUUCAGAGUUCUACUUCCCCUAAGACAAUGACGCCAUGGACUUGCCCCAGUGAGUUUAAGCUCCCUUAAUGUUGGCGUAUCGACGAAGAUUAAAGACAUUUUUGGACGUUUUCACUCGUUUUCAAGAUUUUUUAAAACUGUCAUGAUGUCCUGGCGUCAAUACAUAGCACCUCUGGUCUUCUGCGCCCAAGUGGCCAGCUCGUUUUUUGACACCGCUCUCCAAAUGGUCGUGAAAGAAAGAUGCGCAAACACCACCGAUCCGGACAGCGAGCAGAAAGCCAUCACCAACUUUAACAUGAUCUUCAAUAUGAUAUUAAAAUUCGUGCCCAUUGUGCCUGCGAUCCUCUUGGCAAAGGUUGGCGACAAAGGUUACAGGAAAGUGCCUAUUUUUGUUCCUCUGAUCGGUUACUUGGUGUCCAGAACUUUACUUUUGCUGGAUAUCGUUCUGGAAUGGCCACUCCAGGUGUUGUACGCGGUACCGGUUAUUCAUGGACUGUGCGGAGGUUUCGCGUCAUAUUGGGCCGGUGUGAUGGCGCUUGUUUCGGUGUGUGCAACUGAGGAUAAGCGCUCGUUGCGCAUCAUGAGGACCGAGCUGGUGUAUGGAAUCGCUGGUUUCAUUGGCAGCUUGGCUUCUGGUCACCUGUUUAACCUAUAUACUGUAGAUCUCAAGCAUGGGGUCAUUUUAUCUGGACUGAGUGUUCUUUUCUAUUUCUUCUGUCUGAUUUAUGCGGCGGUUAUCCUGCGGGUGGAUAACAUAGUGCUUGAAAACAGACAGGAGAGACGCGAGAGUAUCGGAAUCAUAAACCAAGAAGCUCGUGAUACGCUGAAUAUCGUUUUGCUCUUCGCCGGUGGGAUUUUGUAUGAUAUAGCAGUGGCAGGAGGGAUAGAGAUGUUGGCGGCGUAUGUGCUCAAAGAGCCGCUGAAUUGGGGCGCGACGGAGGUGGGUUAUGGAAACGCGGCUGGAUCUCUGAUCUUCAUCACCAGUUUUGUGGGUGUGAAGAUCUUCACGAGGUGUUCUGUGAGAGAUGAGAGUAUGAUCAUGAUCGGGAUGGUGUCAUUUGCCGCGGGGAUUUACUUCAUGGCAUUUGUGACCACAACUCCACUUUACUUUUUGGCUCGUUCUCUCACUCUGUUUGCUCUGAUUCCAAUGCCCACCAUUCGCUCGCUGCUGUCCAAACAGGUCAAGGGAACCUCAUAUGGUAAUAAAACAUUGCAGCAGUCCAGUCAUGAGAUGACAAGAGCCUGGUCCACGAGCUGCACAGCCUAUUCAGACAGGCAUUACCUUCGUACUACUCCAGUUGUCCUUCAAACUUGCAAGCUUGGUGACCACACCCAUUUACACCAAAAUCUACCAGAUCUCCCUUGACACAUUCCCAGGGUUUGUCUUCAUACUGUCCAGCAUCUUCACUGUUCUUUCUAUUAUACCCAUCAGUAUUGUAGGAUGUCGCUCUGCAAGACACAAUGGAUAUGAGACAAUUCAAGGGAACUGACAGCAUCAGGACCCAUUAACGGAAAUACAAACAUGACACACCUCUAAGAAAAGUGUUUGAAAUGGGCAUCUUUGCACAAUAAAUGAUUUGUAGAAACACACGGUUACAUAUUAUAGUAAUAUAUAUUACUCAGGUGACUGGUAGGUAAUGGUACAUUUUGUAGCCUAUAGUUACACUUUGCUUUACUGGUAAUGUAAUCUGUUUAGUGUCACAUAUGUCAUGUUUAUGGGUCUUAGUAUAACAAUGGACAGAAUGUGUACAAAAUACUGCUGACAUUUGCUGAUAUUCUGUUAAUAGAUAUUUCUGAGAUCCGCACUGCUUAUUUGACAUUUAUAAUGGCAUUUUUAAUUAGAAUUUUUUAAUUGUUUGUACAGUUUUGUAAUAAAUUCAAUUAUUUGUACAUCUGCAGGAAUCUUAUUAUUAAUCAUAUGCAUACUUUUUUACAUGGUUGAAGUUACUGGAAAAUAUAAUA